ACCAGGAUGGCUGAGCGGUUAAGAUGUUGCACUCAAGCUGCAAUGGACAUAAGCCCUCGUGGGUUCAAAUCCCACUCCUGGUA